AUCGGGAACCUUCACAGCAGACACACUUUUAUGCCUUUGUUUGCAUGAAUGGCUCUGAGAAAAAGAGAGCAAAAAGAGAAACAAAGGGAAGAAAAAUACUGAAGAUUGCCAAGUCAAGGGAGGCCGAACUGUUAGGAGAGCUGACAGUGGUGACUAAUGCAACAAAUGGAUGAUGGAGUGCUGAUACGGGCUUCUCUCAGGACCCCUGGAGACAAACCAAAUUCCCACAGGGUUGAGCUGCACCUGUGCCAAUUGCUGCCCAGCUCUCCAGGUUAAAGCAAUGAGCGCAGUCAGGUGAUUAAGAGCCAGGCUAGCUGUUCUAGAGAACUGUCCUGGAAAAGAGUUGUGAUUACCAGCAGCUGUGUGAGUGGGUGUGCUGCUUCAUUAAGCAGGUGCUGCUCUGCUGCUGAAGAGCAUUUAUAGCCAAAGCACCAGCCCCACUGGGAGUGUAGGCUCAGGGAAGGUUAGUGGCCUAAAAAGGAAGAGCUGUCUAAGGGCUAAGCCAUUUCUGCCACACUGUUCUCCAUGGAAGGAUGAGAAAAGACCACGACCUAAGAAGAUGCCCUAUGGAAUGCUGCUUGCCUCGUGGUUUCACUUCAUGCAAAGCAGAACUAAGCUGGUCCUCCUGCGGUUCCUCCCUCCCCAGGACUCUGUUUCCUCUUCACUCUUGCAUCAACGCUGAUCCUUGUCUGUAUUCCACAUCAUAACAUCAUGUGAGGCACUGGGAG